AUGGUUCCUUGGUGCCUUGCGGCAAUUGCUCAAUAUUUGAAUUGCAUCCACAAUCUAUCCAGCCCUGAUGAUCUGGUCUCUCAUUACAACACUCGUCUCCACAAUAUUCUCAAUUCUCUUGCUCCGUUGAAAAACAGAUCUGUUUCUUUCUCUGUCUCCGCCCCUUGGUUCACCCCCAACAUUCGUCUGAUGAAAGCCAAAGGUCGGCCACUUGAACGGCUCCAUGAAAAAACCGGCCUAACCAUUCACAAAGAAAUGUACAAUAGCCACAUCUUAGACUAUAAGGACUCCAUUGCCAGCACUAAAACCCACUACUACUCCAGCAUAAUCACUGCCAAUAAAGGAAACUCCAAGUCACUGUUCUCCCUACUCAAUAAUAUCACUAAACCCCAGGACUCUCUCCCCCCUCACCUGUACACAACCUCCUUCUGCAACUCCAUUAUGUCCUUUUUCACUUCUAAAAUCAAGAAUAUCCACCAGCACCUUGAAUUAAUCCCUCACCUCAGCCUCUCGACAGACUUUCACCCUUCGUCACUCUCACUCUCCUCCUUCCAGCUCCCCACGCUCUCAGAAAUCACAGAACUCAUCCAUAAAUCCAAACCAUCCACUUGUCAACUGGACCCCCUCCCAACACAACUAGCUAAAGCCUGCCUCCCUUCUCUGGCCCCCCUCAUUUCUGCCAUCAUCCACUCCUCUCUCACCACUGGAACUUUCCCUACAACCUUCAAAACCGCGGCUAUUACACCAAAACUGAAAAAACCUGGUGCCGACCCCUCCAACUUCAACAACUUCCGUCCAAUUUCCAAUCUUCCAUUCAUCUCUAAAAUCCUUGAAAAAACAGUUGCCUCCCAACUCCAUUUUCACUUAUCCGACAAUAACCUAUAUGAUCAGUUCCAGUCCGGUUUCCGCCCACUCCAUAGCACUGAAACAGCACUCAUCAAGAUAACCGACAACCUCCUAAUGGCAGCUGAUUCUGGACUCCUCACCAUCCUCAUCCUCCUCGACCUCAGUUCAGCCUUUGAUACACUCUGUCACACCAUCCUCCUCAACAGACUAGCUUCCAUUGCCAUCACCCACACUCCGUUAGAGUGGUUCAAAUCAUACUUAUCUGGCCGCACUCAGUUCAUCCAACUGAAGUCGUUCAAAUCCAUCUCCUCCUCCGUCACUUCAGGUGGGCCCCAGGGCUCUGUCCUGGGACCCCUCCUCUUCAUCAUCUAA
rnacentral:lncRNA from 1 species